rnacentral:rRNA from 1 species
UACGUAGGGUGCGAGCGUUAAUCGGAAUUACUGGGCGUAAAGCGUGCGCAGGCGGUCUUUUAAGCCAGAUGUGAAAUCCCCGGGCUUAACCUGGGAACUGCGUUUGGAACUGGAAGGCUAGAGUACGGCAGAGGGGGGUGGAAUUCCACGUGUAGCAGUGAAAUGCGUAGAGAUGUGGAGGAACACCGAUGGCGAAGGCAGCCCCCUGGGCCUGUACUGACGCUCAUGCACGAAAGCGUGGGGAGCAAACAGG